rnacentral:rRNA from 1 species
UACCAGCACCCCGAGUGGUCGGGACGUUUAUUGGGCCUAAAGCAUCCGUAGCCGGUUCUACAAGUCUUCCGUUAAAUCCACCUGCUUAACAGAUGGGCUGCGGAAGAUACUAUGGAGCUAGGAGGCGGGAGAGGCAAGCGGUACUCGAUGGGUAGGGUAAAUCCGUUUGAUCCAUUUGAAGACCACCAGUGGCGAAGGCGGCUCGCCAGAACGCGCUCGACGGUGAGGGAUGAAAGCUGGGAAGCAACCGGG